CUUUUCCUCUUCCUCCUCCUCUUCCUCCCUGUCUUCCUCCUCUUCUUCACUGUGAAUCUCUCAUUAUUUACCUAUCUGGGAUUGUACUUGGUCGGUCAAUCCAGUUCCCCCUAAUGAAAUAUCUCAGUCAUUUUGAGCCUAGUCACAAAUCUUUGGCUCUGUUAGUUACUUCACUGUCCAUU
rnacentral:miRNA from 1 species